rfam:Oryza sativa Japonica Group DNA, chromosome 4, cultivar: Nipponbare, complete sequence.
AAAAAGACAAGUCACACAUAAAAUACUCAACGUUUGAUCGUCCGUCUUAUUUGAAAAAAUUAUAAAAAUAAUUGAAAAGACAAGUCACGCAUAAAAUAUUAAUUAUGUUUUAUCAUUUAACAACAAUAAAAAUACGAAUUAUAAAAAAAUUUAAUAUAAGACGGACAAUCAAAAUUGAACACGGAAACUCAGGGUUUGCCUUUUU